AGCCUAAAAUCUCCCCCAAAAAUACUAUCCGAGCUUCCAGAUCUGAAGUUCAUAUUUCAGAUCAGAAAUUCUCUUAGAUCUUAGCUUCUUCAAGAAGAAAAGCCAAAAACAAAAGGAAAAUAUGACAAAUAUCCAAAAAUACUGUUCUGUUCGAAUUUCUUAGGAUAAAUUCAAGUUGAAGGAGCUAAUUUGCAUUUCCUAGUUCAAUAUUCAGUAACUGAAGUAUCCUGAGUCAAUUCGAGUCAGUUUUGGGGUGUGCUUGAGCUAUUUUGUUUAGUUGUGAGUUGGAUUUAGGUCAGUCGAGUCUGGUGUGAGUGUUUUGGUGGCUGUUUGAUCAUCCAUGUCAUUUCUGAGUUGACUGGGUGCUGUUUUGGAGUGGAUCUAUUUAAACAUUUCUGGAAUACUGAACUUAUUUCUGGGCUGUUUGUGAUGAACUGUGAUUGUUGUUCUUUUGGUUGUCGACUGACUUUCUCCUUCUCUUGUUUAUGUUCACAUCCAGGUACACAUUCGAAGCUGUAAGCUCUUUGAUGAAAUAAAAUGCAGUGGCAAUGUGUGAUUUGAUGGAGUUUCUUACUAUGUUUUGUUUCCAUACAGAACUUUGGGAUUUUGUUGUAUUGGCUUAACUUUACUGAUGUUAGAGUUAUAAUUGCUUGAUGUUUAUAACAUAGAUAUUAGUAUGUUGUAAAGUCGCUAGAAUUGUUUUG
rnacentral:lncRNA from 1 species